AAAAAAAGUGUUAAUCCUAGAGGGACCUGGCACCCAGACCACUUCAUUAAGCUGAAGUGGUCUGGGUGCCUAGAGUGGUCCUUUAACAUGCUAUGUGGAAAAAUGUAAAGAUCUAUAAAUAUCUAUUUCGCAAUAAAGUUACACAUUGGUGCAAAUGCACCCUGAAAUUGUUCAAGAAAAGAAGUGUAACAUUAUUCACACAUUGCUGGUAAGUAAAUGUCACUAAGUAGUAUGCAUUGCUAAAGGCAAUUCACUAAUAUUCUUACACCAUAGCUUGUCCCCAAUAAUAUACAAAAAUGUCAUGAUAUUCAGUUUUCUGUUAAAAAUGGGUACAACUGGUAGGAGUGCAUCAAGACAGAAUUGCUGUAAAAUGUUCCAUGCCAAGUACA